AGGGAAUAUUGGUCAAUGGACGGAAGUCUGAACCAGCCAUGCCGCGUGCAGGAUGACGGCCCUCUGGGUUGUAAACUGCUUUUAUACGGGAAGAAACCCCUUCGGUUGGAGGGCUGACGGUACCGUAAGAAUAAGGAUCGGCUAACUACGUGCCAGCAGCCGCGGUAAUACGUAGGAUCCAAGCGUUGUCCGGAUUUAUUGGGUUUAAAGGGUGCGCAGGCGGCCAGAUAAGUCAGUGGUGAAAGCCUACCGCUUAACGGUAGAAUUGCCAUUGAUACUGUUUGGCUUGAGUAUAGUUGAGGUUGGCGGAAUGUAUCAUGUAGCGGUGAAAUGCAUAGAUAUGAUACAGAACACCGAUUGCGAAGGCAGCUGACUAAGCUAUUACUGACGCUCAUGCACGAAAGCGUGGGGAUCAAAC
rnacentral:rRNA from 1 species